rnacentral:rRNA from 1 species
AGAGUUUGAUCCUGGCUCAGGAUGAACGCUAGCGGCAGGCCUAAUACAUGCAAGUCGAACGGUAAAUGCCCCUUCGGGGGUAUGAGAGUGGCGCACGGGUGCGUAACGCGUAUGCAACCCACCCGCUGUCGGGGGAUAGCCCGGAGAAAUUCGGAUUAAUACCCCAUGAGGAGUUCUGGAGGCAUCUCCGGGAUUUCAAAACUACGGUGACGGCGGACGGGCAUGCGUGCCAUUAGAUAGUUGGCGGGGUAACGGCCCACCAAGUCGACGAUGGCUAGGGGAUCUGAGAGGACGGUCCCCCACACUGGUACUGAGACACGGACCAGACUCCUACGGGAGGCAGCAGUAAGGGAUAUUGGUCAAUGGGGGAACCCUGAACCAGCCAUGCCGCGUGAGGGAAUAAGGCCCUAUGGGUCGUAAACCUCUUUUGCCGGGGAUAAAGAUGAUUACGUGUAAUCAUUUGAAGGUACCCGGAGAAUAAGCAUCGGCUAACUCCGUGCC